rfam:Capsicum annuum cultivar Zunla-1 chromosome 11, whole genome shotgun sequence
UGAUGAUGGUGAGGGCAAUUUUUGAGCAUACCCUUAAAUAUUUCCCAAUCUUAGUAAAGAUUUUCUCCUUCUUUCUGCCUGAAAUUCAUAAUCUCGCUUCUUAACCG